rnacentral:rRNA from 1 species
UGCGUAGGCGGAUCUUUAAGUCAGUGGUGAAAGCCUGCAGCUCAACUGUAGAACAGCCAUUGAAACUGAAGAUCUUGAAUAUGGUUAAAGUAGGCGGAAUGUAUCAUGUAGCGGUGAAAUGCUUAGAUAUGAUACAGAACACCGAUAGCGAAGGCAGCUUGCUGAACCAUUAUUGACGCUGAGGCACGAAAGCGUGGGGAGCAAACAGGAUUAGAUACCCUGGUAGUCC